AGUGAACGCUGGCGGUAGGCCUAACACAUGCAAGUCGAACGGCAGCACAGUAAGAGCUUGCUCUUACGGGUGGCGAGUGGCGGACGGGUGAGGAAUACAUCGGAAUCUACUUUUUCGUGGGGGAUAACGUAGGGAAACUUACGCUAAUACCGCAUACGACCUACGGGUGAAAGCAGGGGAUCUUCGGACCUUGCGCGAUUGAAUGAGCCGAGGUCGGAUUAGCUAGUUGGCGGGGUAAAGGCCCACCAAGGCGAAGAUCCGUAGCUGGUCUGAGAGGAUGAUCGGCCACACUAAAACUGAGACACGGUCCAGACUCCUACGGGAGGCAGCAGUGGGGAAUAUUGGACAAUGGGCGCAAGCCUGAUCCAGCAAUACCGCGUGGAUGAAGAAGGCCUUCGGGUUGUAAAGCCCUUUUGUUGGGAAAGAAAAGCAGCAGGUUGAUACCCCGCUAUUCUGACGGUACCCAAAGAAUAAGCACCGGCUAACUUCGUG
rnacentral:rRNA from 1 species